CCCAUACCUCCUGUGGGAUGUCCAGGUCUGGGAGGAUGUCGUCCCAGAGAGAAUCGGGUAUCAGGGCAGAUACCGAUAGGUCAGGAGAUGCCAUAUGUUACAAGUGUCCUUGGGGGUACCCUUUUUCUUUUGCCUAUGGCAUCACCAGACCUAUCAGUAUCCACUCCAAUACCUGAUUCCCUCUGGGACGACAUCCUCCCAGACCUGGACAUCCCACAGGAAGUAUGGGAAGGCAUCCUGGACUCCUCGCUAUUCCAACCCUAAUUCAUCCUGGACUUCUUCCAUCUUACACUGCGGACCUUUUACUCCUAAGUCAUAUUCUCUCACAUAUGACUCAUGUUCCUAUCAUCAUGACUCACCGGCCUCAGUUCAUUUUACUCUAUUUAGUCAAGCUGCACCCGCAGCUUCCAUUUCAUAUUACGCGACAUGUCUUCUUCUUUUGGUAUGCGACGUGUCUUUUCCAUUUAUAUCUCACACGACACGUCUUUCCUUUUCCACUUCACGCAAUGCAUCUCUUUCCUUUUAUAUCUCACGCGACACGAUGCAUCUCUUCUUUGACUCAUACGCGACGCGACGCGUCAUUUGCUAUUUAGACGUUAGAGCAGAGAUUCUAUCUCUAACCAGCCCUAAAGGGGCUUAGUAUAAAUAGCUAGAAUCACCGCCCAUGUAACCUUAACUUUGAUCUACGCAAUCUUAUGUGGAUUUCGAAGUCUUCGCUGUCAGUGCCAGUGCCAGUGUCGUGAAACCGGUGUUUCAUCAACGUCUAAACCCUGAUCUCGAUCUUCUGUCAAUCAGAGCUCGAUCAGGUAACUGCGAACAGCUGUCUAGCUGAGGUCGCCCCUUUGUCCUUGUGAACAGCCCGCCAGCUGAGGUCACAAGCCUCUCGUCGCUAAUCAGAGGAUUAGCCUGCUAGCCAUCGCCCAACGCUAGCCGAGUUCCCAGCCGCCUAUUGCCCAGAGGCCAUGCCCAGAUACAGGCCUUGUCCAUGACCUGUCCAUAGCUGACUUUCCCUUGUGUACCUGGGAGGAGCCCGCUCAUUGCCGCGAACAGGAAUGCCACCUGAGGUCGCUGCCACUGCGUUAAGUCGCCACAACCAUUGUACACAGCUGAGCGGAUCUGGUGAUCCGCUAGCUGACCAGAGGGUCCACCUGUCUUCAGAGGAAGACCUGUCCAUAGCGCUGUUGACUUCAGUCAUCUGCGUACGUGUAAUUUGUUACACCGGUCGUAACACCAUAGGCGACAGAAAAAUGGUACCCCCUAGGACACUUGUAACAUUACCCACACCUCCCCGUCAGCAUUGAAGUGACGUGCUGACAAGUAGGCAGGCGUGGAGGUUGUGAAGAAGCCUUGGCAGCAAUGCUGGGUGGAACCGCCUCUAGUGCAGAUCUUGGUGGUAGUAGCAAAUAUUCAAGUGAGAUCCUUGAAGACUGAAGUGGAGAAAGGUUCUGUGGUAACAGCAGUUGGACACGGGUCAGUCAAUCCUAAGAGAUAGGGAAACUCUGUUUCAAAGUGCACAAUGCUUUGUGCCUCUAUCGAAAGGGAAUCCGGUUAAUAUUCCGGAACCAGAAUGUGGAAUCUUGAACGGCAACAUAAAUGAACUUGGAGACACUGGCGAGGGCCCCGGGAAGAGUUCUCUUUUCUCCUUAACAGCCUAAAACCCUGAAAUCGAUUUGUUUGGAGCUAGGGUUCGAUGGUUGGUAGAGCUCGACAUCUCUGUCGGGUCCGGUGCGUCCUCAACAGUCCUUGAAAAUCCAAGGGAAUGAUAUGGUUCUCGCGUCUGGUCGUACUCAUAACCGCAGCAGGUCUCCAAGGUGAACAGCCUCUAGUUGAUAGAACAAUGUAGAUAAGGGAAGUCAGCAAAAUAGAUCCGUAACUUCGGGAAAAGGAUUGGCUCUAAGGGUUGGGUACAUCGGGCCUUGUGUUGGAAGCUUGCCUGCAACCAGGCUGGGGGUCGUCCUCGGACAACCUCUGGCCAGGAAGCUAGCGAGUGGACAGCCUUGGCUUGUCUCUCAGGGCAGUUCUGGUGCAUGCUUAACAACCAACUUAGAACUGGUGCGGACAAGGGGAAUCUGACUGUCUAAUUAAAACAUAGCAUUGCGAUGGCCAGAAAGUGGUGUUGACGCAAUGUGAUUUCUGCCCAGUGCUCUGAAUGUCAAAGUGAAGAAAUUCAACCAAGUGCGGGUAAACGGCGGGAGUAACUAUGACUCUCUUAAGGUAGCCAAAUGCCUCGUCAUCUAAUUAGUGAUGUGCAUGAAUGGAUUAACGAGAUUCCCACUGUCCCUAUCUACUAUCUAGCGAAACCACAGCCAAGGGAACGGGCUUGGCGGAAUCAGCGGGGAAAGAAGACCCUGUUGAGCUUGACUCUAGUUUGACAUUGUGAAAAGACAUAGAGGGUGUAGAAUAAGUGGGAGCUUCAGCGCCGGUGAAAUACCACUACCUUUAUCGUCUUUUUACUUAUUCGAUGAUGCAGAACUGGGGUUAACAGCCCCACCUUUUGGCAUUAAGGUCCUUUGCAGGCCAAUCCGGGUCGAAGACAUUGUCAGGUGGGGAGUUUGGCUGGGGCAGCACAUCUGUUAAAAGAUAACGCAGGUGUCCUAAGGGGGACUCAACGAGAACAGAAAUCUCGUGUAGAAUAAAAGGGUAAAAGUCCCCUUGAUUUUGAUUUUCAGUGUGAAUACAAACCAUGAAAGUGUGGCCUAUCGAUCCUUUAGUCCCUCAGAAUUUGAGGCUAGAGGUGCCAGAAAAGUUACCACAGGGAUAACUGGCUUGUGGCAGCCAAGUGUUCUAGUGAUUCGUAGCUUUUUGAUCCUUUUAUGUCAGCUCUUCCUAUCAUACUGAAGCAGAAUUCGGUAAGCGUUGGAUUGUUCAUCCACUAAUAGGGAACGUGAGCUGGGUUUAGACUGUCAUGAGACAGGUUAGUUUUACCCUACUGAUGGAGUCAUCGUUGCAACAGUAAUUGGGUGUAGUACAAGAGGAACUGUCCAUUCAGAUAAUUGGUAUUUGCGACUGGCCGGGGGUAGGGUUUCUGUUCAUGCAGAUUUUGCUCGGGCUGACGCAGAUCUGGUCUAUAACAGUCAAUACAUCGAUUAUGGUUUCUUUCUUUUUGUUGUUCUCUAGUCUCAUGAAUAAGAAUUUAUUACCAACUACACUAUCUUACAUGUUAUGAUACCAAAUCCUGAGAUGCAAGUCUGCGCAUAGCAUAGCAUAUGGCGGGAU
rnacentral:rRNA from 1 species